rnacentral:rRNA from 1 species
GGACGAACGCUGGCGGCGUGCUUAACACAUGCAAGUCGAGCGGUAAGGCCCUUUCGGGGGUACACGAGCGGCGAACGGGUGAGUAACACGUGGGUGACCUGCCCUCAGCUCUGGGAUAAGCCUGGGAAACCGGGUCUAAUACUGGAUAUGACUCCAUGACGCAUGUUGUGGGGUGGAAAGCCUUGUGCGGCUGAGGAUGGGCCCGCGGCCUAUCAGCUUGUUGGUGGGGUGANGGCCUACCGAGGCGACGACGGGUAGCCGGCCUGAGAGGGCGACCGGCCACACUGGGACUGAGACACGGCCCAGACUCCUACAGGAGGCAGCAGUGGGGAAUCUUGCGCAAUGGGCGAAAAGCCUGACGCAGCGACGCCGCGUGAGGGAUGACGGCCU